rnacentral:rRNA from 1 species
UACGUAGGGUGCGAGCGUUAAUCGGAAUUACUGGGCGUAAAGCGUGCGCAGGCGGUUUUGUAAGACAGGCGUGAAAUCCCCGGGCUCAACCUGGGAAUGGCGCUUGUGACUGCAAAGCUAGAGUGCGGCAGAGGGGGAUGGAAUUCCGGCGUGUAAGCAGUGAAAUGCGUAGAUAUGCGGAGGAACACCGAUGGCGAAGGCAAUCCCCGUGGGCCUGCACUGACGCUCAUGCACGAAAGCGUGGGGAGCAAACAGG